UACGAAGGGUACGAGCGUUAUUCGGAGUUACUGGGCGUAAAGAGCGUGUAGGCGGUUAGUUAAGUUAGUUGUUAAAUUCCCCGGCCUAACUGGGGACAUGCGGCUAAUACUGGCUAGCUAGAGUACAAGAGAGAGAAGUAGAAUUCCCGGAGUAGCGGUAAAAUGCGUAGAUCUCGGGAGGAAUACCGAUGGCGAAGGCAGCUUCUUGGCUUGUAACUGACGCUAAAGCGCGAAAGCGUGGGGAGCAAACAGGAUUAGAUACCCUGGUAGUCCACGCCGUAAACGAUGAUCACUGGAUAUGGGUUUGACGUUGUCAGAUCUGUGUCGUAGCUAACGCGUUAAGUGAUCCGCCUGGGAAAUACGGUCGCAAGAUUAAA
rnacentral:rRNA from 1 species